rnacentral:rRNA from 1 species
GUCCGCUGAGGGUUAGUCGGGACCUAAGCCGAGGCCGAAAGGCGUAGGUGAUGGACAACUGGUUGAUAUUCCAGUACCACUACCAUCGUUAUUAUYGAUGGCGUGACGCAGGAGGAUAGUGUGUGCUAGCUAUUGGAUGCUAGUCUAAGCGUUUAGGCAGUGAGAGUAGGCAAAUCCGCUCUCAUAAUGCUGAGGCGUGAUGGGGAAGGUUCYACGGAACCGAAGUACAUGAUUCCACGCUGCCAAGAAAAGCGUCUAGAGAGAGAAGUAGUGCCCGUACCGCAAACCGACACAGGUAGGUGAGGAGAGAAUCCUAAGGCCGGCGGAAGAAUUACAGUUAAGGAACUCGGCAAAUUGACCCCGUAAGUUCGCGAGAAGGGGUGCCUACGAGAGUAGGCCGCAGAGAAUAGGCCCAAGCAACUGUUUAGCAAAAACACAGGUCUCUGCUAAAGCGUAAGCUGAUGUAUAGGGGCUGACGCCUGCCCGGUGCUGGAAGGUUAAGGGGAACACUUAGCGCAAGCGAAGGUGUGAACUUAAGCCCCAGUAAACGGCGGCCGUAACUAUAACGGUCCUAAGGUAGCGAAAUUCCUUGUCAGGUAAGUUCUGACCCGCACGAAUGGCGUAAUGACUUGGGCACUGUCUCAACUGUAAAUCCGGCGAAGUUGUAGUGCGAGUGAAGAUGCUCGCUACCCGCGAUUGGACGGAAAGACCCCGUAGAGCUUUACUGUAGCUUAGCAUUGAGUUUUGGUAUUGUCUGUACAGGAUAGGUGGGAGACUAGGAAACCAGGGCGUCAGCCUUGGUGGAGUCAACCUUGGGAUACCACCCUGACAGUACUGAAAUUCUAACUGGCGGCCAUGAAUCUGGUCACAGGACAUUGUUAGGUGGGCAGUUUGACUGGGGCGGUCGCCUCCUAAAAAGUAACGGAGGCGCCCAAAGGUUCCCUCAGAACGGUCGGAAAUCGUUCGAAGAGUGCAAAGGCAGAAGGGAGCCUGACUGCGACACCCACAAGUGGAGCAGGGACGAAAGUCGGGCUUAGUGAUCCGGUGGUACCUCGUGGGAGGGCCAUCGCUCAACGGAUAAAAGCUACCUCGGGGAUAACAGGCUGAUCUCCCCCAAGAGUCCACAUCGACGGGGAGGUUUGGCACCUCGAUGUCGGCUCGUCGCAUCCUGGGGCUGAAGUAGGUCCCAAGGGUUGGGCUGUUCGCCCAUUAAAGCGGCACGCGAGCUGGGUUCAGAACGUCGUGAGACAGUUCGGUCCCUAUCCGUCGCGGGCGUAGGAAAUUUGAGAGGAGCUGUCCUUAGUACGAGAGGACCGGGAUGGACUGACCUCUGGUGUACCAGUUGUUCCGCCAGGAGCACAGCUGGGUAGCUAAGUCGGGAAUGGAUAAACGCUGAAAGCAUCUAAGCGUGAAGCCAACCUCAAGAUGAGAUUUCCCAUAGCGUAAGCUAGUAAGAUCCCUUGAAGAACACAAGGUUGAUAGGUCGGGGGUGUAAGCAUGGUAACAUGUUCAGCUGACCGAUACUAAUAGAUCGAGGGCUUGACCAA